rnacentral:rRNA from 1 species
ACUGCGAAUGGCUCAUUAUAUAAGUUAUCGUUUAUUUGAUAGUACCUUACUACUUGGAUAACCGUGGUAAUUCUAGAGCUAAUACAUGCUAAAAAUCCCGACUCCGGAAGGGAUGUAUUUAUUAGAUUAAAAACCAAUGCCCUCUGGGCUCCUUGGUGAUUCAUGAUAACUUUUCGAAUCGCAUGGCCUUGCGCCGGCGAUGGUUCAUUCAAAUUUCUUCCCUAUCAACUUUCGAUGUUUGGGUAUUGGCCAAACAUGGUCGCAACGGGUAACGGAGGGUUAGGGCUCGACCCCGGAGAAGGAGCCUGAGAAACGGCUACUACAUCCAAGGAAGGCAGCAGGCGCGCAAAUUACCCAAUCCCGAUUCGGGGAGGUAGUGACAAUAAAUACUGAUACAGGGCUCUUUUGGGUCUUGUAAUUGGAAUGAGUACAAUUUAAAUCCCUUAACGAGGAACAAUUGGAGGGCAAGUCUGGUGCCAGCAGCCGCGGUAAUUCCAGCUCCAAUAGCGUAUAUUAAAGUUGUUGUGGUUAAAAAGCUCGUAGUUGAACCUUGGGCCUGGCUGGCCGGUCCGCCUCACCGCGUGCACUGGUCCGGCCGGGCCUUUCCCUCUGUGGAACCCCAUGCCCUUCACUGGGUGUGGCGGGGAAACAGGACUUUUACUUUGAAAAAAUUAGAGUGCUCCAGGCAGGCCUAUGCUCGAAUACAUUAGCAUGGAAUAAUGAAAUAGGACGUGUGGUUCUAUUUUGUUGGUUUCUAGGACCGCCGUAAUGAUUAAUAGGGACAGUCGGGGGCAUCAGUAUUCAAUUGUCAGAGGUGAAAUUCUUGGAUUUAUUGAAGACUAACUACUGCGAAAGCAUUUGCCAAGGAUGUUUUCAUUAAUCAGGAACGAAAGUUAGGGGAUCGAAGACGAUCAGAUACCGUCGUAGUCUUAACCAUAAACUAUGCCGACUAGGGAUCGGACGAUGUUAUUUUUUGACGCGUUCGGCACCUUACGAGAAAUCAA